GGCCAGACUCCUACGGGAGGCAGCAGUGAGGAAUAUUGGUCAAUGGGCGGGAGCCUGAACCAGCCAAGUCGCGUGAGGGAAGACGGUCCUACGGAUUGUAAACCUCUUUUGCCGGGGAGCAACGGGGUCCUUGCGAGGGCCCAAUGAGAGUACCCGGAGAAAAAGCAUCGGCUAACUCCGUGCCAGCAGCCGCGGUAAUACGGAGGAUGCGAGCGUUAUCCGGAUUUAUUGGGUUUAAAGGGUGCGCAGGCGGAAGCGCAAGUCAGCGGUAAAAUUGAGAGGCUCAACCUCUUCGCGCCGUUGAAACUGCGUUUCUUGAGUGGGCGAGAAGUACGCGGAAUGCGUGGUGUAGCGGUGAAAUGCAUAGAUAUCACGCAGAACUCCGAUUGCGAAGGCAGCGUACCGGCGCCCAACUGACGCUGAAGCACGAAAGCGUGGGUAUCGAACAGGAUUAGAUACCCCAGUA
rnacentral:rRNA from 1 species